UACGGGGGGAGCAAGCGUUGUUCGGACUUACUGGGCGUAAAGGGCGCGUAGGCGGUCAGCACAAGUCAGUUGUGAAAUCUCCGGGCUUAACUCGGAAAGGUCAACUGAUACUGUGCGACUAGAGUGCAGAAGGGGCAACUGGAAUUCUCGGUGUAGCGGUGAAAUGCGUAGAUAUCGAGAGGAACACCUGCGGCGAAGGCGGGUUGCUGGGCUGACACUGACGCUGAUGCGCGAAAGCCAGGGGAGCGAACGGG
rnacentral:rRNA from 1 species